AGCACAGCUCCUGCUGCCCCAUUUCCCUGUCACUCCUCUCAGAGGACAGCCUUAUUACUUCUCCACAUCUCCUUUUCAGCCAAAAGCUGUAACUCUGCUUGCUCUCUGCUUCAUAGGAGUCUCUCUCACAAUGAAGUUCCUGCUGCUGUCCUGCAUUCUGAGCAUGGUCCUUGCUGUCACCAAUGCACAGCAGCUUGACAGCAAUGAAAGCUCCGGUUCAGACAGCUCAGAACAGUACCCACAAGAAAAGACCAUUUUCUUUCCUUUGCAUUCCAUUCUUCGCCUCCUCCAGAAACGCCCCAAGCAUGCUUAGCCAUCUGUUUUGCUGUGAGUCUGAGGACAGCCAGCUUUAUCCUCAGCCACCAGCAGCUGCCCGGUCACCUGCUCACAGGGCUCUGUUUUCCAAAGCUGACGACGCUGUUGGGG